AUGUACAGUGACCAUGCUACCAUUCUUACCAUUUCCAUCCGGCCACUGUUAAAUCUAAGAAAACUUCUAAACUUGUUGUUAUUUGAAAGUGAUUUUCAGGCGACUGUUCAAACUGCUUGGUCCAGUUCUUGCAAUAAACCUUUCCAUUUAAGAACUUCCAAGCUUGCAGGUUCCCUUAAAAGAUGGAGCAGAACCAAGAGACCUCUCCAGCAGCAACUAGACUCCAUUCAUGCAGAGCUGGAUGCAGUGCAGUCCACUCCUAUUCACUUGCUGGAGCAACUCUCUUUGUUCAAUAUGGGAUUAGUUCCCCUAGGUGAACAGAGCCUUAAGUUUGUGUAG
rnacentral:rRNA from 1 species